rnacentral:lncRNA from 1 species
UGCAGGGCUGUGGGGUCCAGUCCACACCAGCUCCAGACAUACUCUAUUCUUGUUGAAACAGCUAAUAUGAGGGAGCAGUUUUGUACCAUUGUCCUUGGUUUGAAAAUGUGCUUUCUGAUGUUCUUGAUGUUUGACCUUGUAUGAACCCAUAAAUUUCCCAUGAUUGCUGAAGUUCAAUUCCAAUCCUCAGAAACUAUUUAACAGAGACUCCAUUAGACUGUCUGAAGCCUUCACGUUCAAAUCACAUCUCUCUGGACAUGCUGGAAGGUGGAAUGAUUAUGAGUUGAAGAAGAUGAGAAGAGCUGGUGGCCUUAAAAACCCCACCUGUCCUGUCAUUGGUGAUGCAUGGUCUUCCAGCAAACUCACUAAGUAGUUCUCUGCUUGCCCCAAAGAAAAUGGACAUUCUGAAAUUACAAAGAGUCAGUCUGGAACACAGCUUUUUAUAUAAAAGAUACAGCAUACAGAUUGAAGACAUGACUAGUCCCUGA